rnacentral:rRNA from 1 species
GAUCCUGGCUCAGAUUGAACGCUGGCGGCAGGCCUAACACAUGCAAGUCGAACGGUAACAGGAAGCAGCUUGCUGCUUUGCUGACGAGUGGCGGACGGGUGAGUAAUUUCUGGGAAACUGCCUGAUGGAGGGGGGAUAACUACUGGAAACGGUAGCUAAUACCGCAUAACGUCGCAAGACCAAAGAGGGGGGACCUUAGGGCCUCUUGCCAUCGGAUGUGCCCAGAUGGGAUUAGCUAGUAGGUGGGG